AAGAAUGAAUAUACUCUGUGGAUAAAGCAUUCCAGCUUCUGUUUGUGCACUCUUCCUCUCCAGCUAAUGGCAUCUGUUCUGUGUGUGUGCCAGUUUAUCAUGUAGUGCUUGCCCAUAACAGCAGGAAAUUGAAAUUUGAAAUUUCUAUUUAAGAAAGCUGAAUAAAGAGAUUGCAUUCUUCCAGUUCAACCACUCUUGAAAAUAAACCCUCAGUAUAAGGAUGCCAGAAAGCACAAUAAAACCCACAGCCUCUUGCAGACUCAGAGCAGAUACUUUUGGCUGGAGUAGGAGCUAGGAUUUUUGCAGAAAAAGAGAGAAGGACCAGCAUGAAAGACCAGAAGAAAAAGAGAAAAAGGGUUGAGGAAACUACAGUGAAAGAGAUCUACUACAUGCAAUUUCUGGCAAUACAGCUUGGGGAUGACAUGGAUUAAUAGUUAUUACUAAAAAGCAGUGUGGUUUUCAAAUGAAACAUGGAACCUUCUGUGGUUAAGGUUUUUCUGUGCUUCCUAAAAAAA
ensembl:lncRNA